rnacentral:rRNA from 1 species
GACGAACGCUGGCGGCGUGCUUAACACAUGCAAGUCGAGCGAUGAAGUUCCUUCGGGAAUGGAUUAGCGGCGGACGGGUGAGUAACACGUGGGUAACCUGCCUCAUAGAGGGGAAUAGCCUUCCGAAAGUAAGAUUAAUACCGCAUAAGAUUGUAGUUUCGCAUGAAACAGCAAUUAAAGGAGUAAUCCACUAUGAGAUGGACCCGCGUCGCAUUAGCUAGUUGGUGAGGUAACGGCUCACCAAGGCGACGAUGCGUAGCCGACCUGAGAGGGUGAUCGGCCACAUUGGGACUGAGACACGGCCCAGACUCCUACGGGAGGCAGCAGUGGGGAAUAUUGCACAAUGGGGGAAACCCUGAUGCAGCAACGCCGCGUGAGUGAUGACGGUCUUCGGAUUGUAAAACUCUGUCUUCAGGGACGAUAAUGACGGUACCUGAGGAGGAAGCCACGGCUAACUACGUGCCAGCCGCCGCGGUAACAC